GGAGUGCCAAAAGUUAAAAAAAUACCACUCACUCACUCACUCUCUCAUAAAUCCAAUACCAUUUCACUUAUUCUUAAGAUUCAAUCCAAUACCAUUCAUUCAUAAUGGAUCUAUUAGAGAAAUGCAAUCUACAAAUCUAGGAUGAGAAAUCAAGUAAAACGAAGCACAAGUUUCAGUUUUUGUUUUGUCUGAGCAGAUAUGCACCAACUGGAUAAGACAUCCUUUCACAAAUAACAAUUGGGUAUGUGAUCCAAUCUGCCAAGUUACAAGAUCGCCUUGUACGCCCAAUGACAACUUACUCGUAAUAUAUCUUUAAUUAUGCAUAAUAUUUUUAGUUUUGUUGUUGCCAUAGUGUUUAAAUCAAUUUUAGUACUCUAUGAUUUAUUUUAUUUUCAGAAAAUAAAAUUUUGUAUUUGGUACUCAAAAAGAAUAAAUAUAGCAUUUAGUUUAGAUAAAAUGAAAUGAUUCAAAAAUGGUAUUUAAUUUUAUUUUUAAUUUAAUAUUUUAUUUUUGUUAAAAAAUUUAAUUAAAGUUUAAUUUUGAUUAGUUUCUCUCUAAAAAAAUCAGUCUUUAUAUCAAUAAUAAAUUAAAACCUAACAAAAAUUUCGUUGUAGAAUAGAUCAUUGAUUAACCUUCCUAAAAGUUUCAAAAUGAACUUUGACUUCUUUUCUCGCUUAGUUUUGCCGAGAAAAGUGCACCAAAUAGUAUAAAAUUGGAAAAACCCAUUUACAGGUCUUUAAACUAUAUUUGUUUUAUUCAUCCAGUACUUAAAUUAUUUUUCGUCUUUAUCUGGUCCUUCAACUUAGCAAAAAAUUAUUUUUGAGUCCUUGAUUAACAAAAACGACGCUGUUUAGGAUGACAAAUUGCAUUUUCAAAAAUAAUAAAAUAAUGUCGUUUUUAUCAUUCGGGGACUUGAAAAUGAUUUUUUGCUAAAUUGAAGGACCAAAUAAGGAUAAAAAUUAGUUUAACGACCAGAUGAACAAAAUAUGUAUAGUUUAGGGACCUUUAAAUGAAUUAUUUCUAUAAAAUUUAAAAUAUCUUAUCAAAUUAGUACGACAUUUUAAUUUAAAAGUAGAAUCUAUAUACUUAUAUAAUUGAGAGGACCAACGGAGCUCUCUCAUUAAUUCUCACAAAAUAGAAUUUUCUCAUUAAUUCUCACCAAAUAGAAUUUUCUCAUUAAUUCUCACCAAAUAGAGCAAUCUUAUGAGUUCCCUCCUUUUUUAAACUACCUCUUUUAAUACUCCAUCAUUUAUUUUGUUUAAACUACUAUCCAUUAUCCAUAUAGAAUAACAAUUCUACAUAAACUAAAAUAUUGAGAAUGUCCAACUAAGUUAAAUAUUAAUCGUUUAUUAGCUUUUACAGUUGUUCGUAAUUACACUUACAUGAAAAGCAUUAUUUAAACUAAGUUUAUAUUCUUUUGUUUUGAUAAGUUUAUAAGAACGUUGCUAUGUCUAUGACAUUCCAAAUCUCCAUGACAUACUGCUCCAUCAAAUAAUCUAUUCCAAUCAAUAUUAUAAAUUCAAUAUACAUAUAUAUACAAUUCGUAUUACCCCUUUAAAUGUAUAUGAGAAUAUAAAUAUAUUAAUUUUAUAAAAGUAAAGUAAAAUAAAUAAUUUGUAGAGAUUAAAAAAUUUACAUAAAUUAGAAUUCAAUAAAAAUAAAACUAAUAGUUAAUAAAAAGUUAGAAAUCAUUAAAUAAAUAGUAUAUAAAAAUAAAACUCACGGUAAGUACUCUAUAUAAAAAUAGAACCUUAUUUUUAGGCUUAAAUGCAUAAAAAAAUCACCAACUUUCGCGUGUUUUUGGUAUUUGACACAAACGUUUGAUUUUGGCAUAUAAAUACACGAACUUUCAAUAUUUUGCAUAUAUGACCAAAUUUCCGUUUUAGAUGAAAAACAAUGCCGUUUUAGGUAUAAAACGUCGCCGUUUAGGUCAAAAAUGGUACCGUUUUAUGUCGAAAACGGUGCCCGCGUUAUAUAUGCAAAAAAUUGAUAGUUCAUGUAUUUAUAUGCUAAAAGUAAAAGUUCGUGUCAAAUACCAAAAAUACGCGAAAGUUGAUUUGGAGCAAUUAAGCCUUAUUUUUAUGUUAAAAUCUAUCAAACAUUCGCUAAUAAUACACUUUUUAGUAGAUUUUGACAUACGGUGAUAUAAAUUUAUUUUUAAUUUUUUACUCCUUAACAAUUGCUUUGAAAUUAUGUUUAGUUAUUAAUUAUUUUAAUUGUAUUCAACUGUUAAGUCUAAGAAAGGUAAAAAAAUAAGUUUUAAAAAGUACUAAAAAAAAUUAAGUGAGACUUAUAGUGGGAUUAUAUAAAAAUAACAUUGAAAUUUCGUAAAUGGGACAAUAAAAAUAUUUUCCUAAUUUUUAAUUAAUGUAAAUACAAUUUUAAUAAGACAUUACUAAUUGCAAAUAAAUUAUUAUCUAAUCAGUUGAUCCAAACUUUAAAUUAUAUAAAGACUUUGAAUAUCACAUUCCUAUAAAAGUUCAUACACAGUAUUUUAAAAAGUCAAUAUAAUAUCAUAUUAAAAUAUAAAUGAGCAAAACAAGAAAUAUCAUAUAUUUAUUAUUGAAACUUACCAAUUUUUCUUUCGCAUGAAAUAUAGUUUAAAACUUUAUAUUCCAUAAUAUCUAUAUAAAAAGUAAAAUACAAAAAAAUUAAAGAGGAAGAAGGAAAAAAAAUCAUGACAAAAUAACAAAAAUCAUUAUAGAUAUAAUGACAGAAAAUAAGGCUGAAUUUUAUAAAAUAUAAAAAAACAUUAUAAAUAUUUAAUAUUUUAAAAUAGUUAAUUAUUAUAAUAAAUUUUCAUUUUAUUUACUUUUAUUAGUUUGCAGAUUACGAAUUUAUUUUGACAUUUUUAGUAUUAAAAUAUUUUCAAUAAUAUUUAUUUAUAUCCAUUCCGCGCAAAUGCGCGGGUGUACGACUAGUACUUAUAUAAUUGAGAGGACCAAUGGAGCCCUCUCAUUGAUUCUCACUAAAUAGAGCAAUUUUAGAGUUUCCAAUUUUUUUAAACUACUUCAAUUUUAUUUAAUUUUAAAAUUAAAAGUUAAAACUAAAAGAUAAUUCACAUUAGUUCCCACUUCUCUUAAAAUACUCAUUUUAAUUAAAUUUUAUCAUAAAUUUUAACAUCCUAACCUAAAUGAACGACCUAAUUUAUCACUAUAAAUACAGCAUAAUUUCAUGAGAAUAUUAGUAUGAUACUGCCAUAAUUAGAGGCGUGAAGACCGAACUUCAGCUUGGAUCAGGUACUGAUUUCUUAUUUGUUUCUGUUCCUUUAGCAUUUACUGAACAAUUACUUUAUUAGUUAAACAUGUAUGUGUACCAUUUUUAGACUUCUUUGAGUUUUUUAACUGCUGAGUUUCUUAAUAAGAAACAUUUAAAUUGUAUAAAUUUAUCAAUCUAUAAUUGUUUUAAACUCUCUUUUAGUUCGCCGACAUGAUCACUUUAGUUCGUUAUUUUGUUCUGUAGGUGGAAUUCUCUUCACCGAAUAGUACUUCAGCUAUACCCACACUAAAUGCUUUUAAUUUAUAUAAAUUCUUUUUUUGUUAAAUAGAUAAGAUCAAUCUUGAGACUUAUAUGUAAAUUCUCACCUUUUAAAAAUACUGAUCAAUUUACGUCAUUAUCUUAAAUGAGUUUGUAGUUUAUGUAAAUUUAUCAACCUAUAUGUUUACUUUUGUCUUCUCUUUUUUAUUCGUCUUUUUUAUUUGUACCUUAUUUGUAUAUGUAUACUAAAUGAUGAUCUUGAUUGUUUGUGUAGGUAUAGAUAUUGCUUCACAGAUUGCAGUAGUUGUGGAAAUUCCCCUAAAUUACCGAGAUGUUGCAAAUAGUGUUAGUUCUUAAGUGAAUAUUUAAGAAAAGUACAUAUAGAUUCCCUUUUUGUUAAAAAAAUCGAUGGUGAAUUUUCCUUUCC